rnacentral:rRNA from 1 species
UACGUAGGAUGCAAGCGUUAUCCGGAAUGAUUGGGCGUAAAGCGUCCGCAGGUGGCAGUUCAAGUCUGCUGUCAAAGACCGGGGCUUAACUUCGGAAAGGCAGUGGAAACCGAACAGCUAGAGUAUGGUAGGGGCAGAGGGAAUUCCUGGUGUAGCGGUGAAAUGCGCAGAUAUCAGGAGGAACACCGGUGGCGAAGGCGGGUCUCUGGGCCGUAACUGACGCUGAGGAGCGAAAGCAUGGGGAGCGAACAGG